GACGAACGCUGGCGGCGUGCUUAACACAUGCAAGUCGAACGGAAAGGCCCUGCUUUUGUGGGGUGCUCGAGUGGCGAACGGGUGAGUAACACGUGAGUAACCUGCCCUUGACUUUGGGAUAACUUCAGGAAACUGGGGCUAAUACCGGAUAGGAGCUCCUUCUGCAUGGUGUGGGUUGGAAAGUUUCGGCGGUUGGGGAUGGACUCGCGGCUUAUCAGCUUGUUGGUGGGGUAGUGGCUUACCAAGGCUUUGACGGGUAGCCGGCCUGAGAGGGUGACCGGCCACAUUGGGACUGAGAUACGGCCCAGACUCCUACGGGAGGCAGCAGUGGGGAAUAUUGCACAAUGGGCGGAAGCCUGAUGCAGCAACGCCGCGUGCGGGAUGACGGCCUUCGGGUUGUAAACCGCUUUCGCCUGUGACGAAGCGUGAGUGACGGUAAUGGGUAAAGAAGCACCGGCUAACUACGUG
rnacentral:rRNA from 1 species